rnacentral:sRNA from 1 species
AAAUAGGAUGUAACAAUCCUUGCCGUGC